UUUCCUGAACUUUCUUGGGAUGUGAUGUGACAAGUAUAUAUAUUUCCUGUCAUAAUAGAUUUAAAAAAUAAAUAAAUAACCUAUGAUAGUAUAUAGUUGCCCUAUAAGCCUAAUUGGGAAAUGAAAACCAUCACAUGCAGAACUCAUGCUCAUACAUGACAAGAAAUUUCUUUCUAGGGAAAAAAAUAAAUAAAUAAAGCCCGUAUACUGCAUGAAGACUAUCGAUAUUAUUCAAGGUUUUCAAUUAUUAUUAAAUCAUAUUGUCCCCAAUAAAUUUUAGUUACAUGUCAAUAGAGAAUUAUCCUUUUCAACGUUAUUUUACAUGAAAAGAUGAACAAUAAUACUUUUCUAUUUUUUAUCCGCUUUCCUUCUUGGGCUAUUCAAAUGUAUUGUAUAUAUGAAUAUCAUUUUCAUAUCUCAUAUGAUCUUAAGUUUUGUUUUAAAAAAUUAUUUUUACUUCAUUUGCUUCGAUAAUCGGUUGUGGCUACACCUAGGAUCGCAAACUUUAUUAUAAUUUUUUUAUUUACUUUUUUGCAUAUGCCUAAAGCCCAAUUAUUUCGUCGAUUGAUCGGUAUUUCAGUAAGCGGAAUAGAUAGCAGUAUAAGCAACUUUUGAACAGUUUUAUUAUUUAAUUAUAACAAUCUAAAUAUAGAACAAUAACAUAUAUUUGGGCAGUUCAUGAAGACUCUCUCAUGCAUAUAAAAGAAGUUAGAAUUAACUCGUUGUUUUUCAUGCAUACCAUGUGCUGAGUUCUGGCUUAUAAUAAACUUUAUUUAGUUAAAGAUGACUGAAUUCUAAGACGAAAAGAUGGAAGACAGAAAAAAAGUUCAAAAACUAGAAUUAAAUAUUAUUACUAUUCUUGAGCCUAAACUAAGACAAACACAUAUUUAUGGUCCAAAAUUAAAUGAUGAAUAACAGACAAAUAUAAGAUAUAACAAUUUUUUUAUUACUUACAGGAUUAUUCAUGUUUUUUUUUUCAGUACUAUGGAUUAUAUUUCUCGAUUAUUUAGUUUCCUUAGGUUUAAUUGCCUUUGUUUUUAAUUGUCUAUAUAAGGCUAUUCAUUAUUUAUUAUUUUCAAAGUAUCUUCUUUUUUUUUAUUAUUUAUUUUUGAAGAUUAUCUCAUGUUUUAUAUCUUAUAAUUCUAUUUCAUGUCUUCAUAUUUCUUUUCUUUCAAUAAUUUUUUUUCUGAAGAAUUUAAUAUCUCUAUUCUUUUACAAUACUCUUCUGUUUCUUCUCUUUCCUAUUUUCUCUCAACAUCCAGGAUAUAUAGUGAAAGUUUCUUCCUUUUAUUUAUUUUUUUCCUUUUAUACUAAAAUUUAAAAUAUAAAAUAAAAUAAAAUCGAGAUCCAUUGAUUAUGACAAUCUAAGAAUUAUAGUUUAUUGACCAUGAUGCAAUUAAUUACAUCUUGGAAAUGGAAGGAACAUAGGGUAGGGCAGCCUAAAUGUUGGGGUCUUGGUGUAACAAGAAUCCCCAAAUAAGGUUAUGAUGUUUUCCACGUUACUUGAUUUAUCCAAUCGAACCCCAAAAUUAAAAAUAUUGUACUGUCUGCUUAGUCCCUCUACCAUGUUGAAUUCAAACACACAAUAUUUCUAUCUUAAGAGUCUUCUCCACCAUCUACCAUAUUUGACUUUCUCAUCCAUAAAAGUUGGUUUUUUUAAGGAACAAAAACAAAAGUAUGUUUGACUAAAUCGACUGAGAGGCCCCAACCAGCACCAUACGAGAUCUGUAAUUACAGACACAGAUCCCCAAGAUUUUGUUUUCAGUACCAUGAAAGUCCUUAUUGUUUUUAUGCAAAUCCCAAUUGGAUGCAUUAAGGUUUGAGUCUUAUCAACGAGUGAUACAUUUUAUCAUAGUAAUCUCAUUAAACCAUGUGUUUAAGACAUACUUUCCACUGGUACUUCAUUCAGUAUUAUUCUAGAUUUGGUAUUCACCAUUUUAUGAGUGAAUAUAUAUAAUAUAGUGAACCAGAAGAACUAUAUUUUCUUAGGUUAAAGACAUAUUAUAUAUAUUUAUGAAAAGAAUUAAAGUCCGGUAUUAUUAGUUGUUAAUGUGAGGUAUUUUAUAAAAACAUAUGAUUCUACGAGGUACUAAACCCUUCAGAUUAUUAUCUCGAAGACAUGGCACUGGUUUCCAUCAGCUGGUGUUGAUCAUUACCUUUUAUAUGGAAGACAAUGUGCUCUUUCGUCCACUCCCAUCCAUAACGAUUCUUGGAAAGAAGAAGGCCAGGGGAUUAGAUGGAUAUAGGGGCAGGUAGCAGAAAUGAUUACUGGAUUUCAAGUGGAGAUUUUAGAGAAUAAUCAGCUUGGUUGCUUGUGCAAAUAAUCAAUCACCCUAAGAUGGCACGUCACUGGCACUCGAGCAUGCAAUGCGAGCUCGAAGGCUGAGGUUCCCUCCGAAGGAUAGUCUCGAAAGUCUGACGGUAAGGAGGUGGUGUUAAUGUUCCGAUGAGCUCGAAACAUGAAGCAGGCUCAAAAGAACGUUGGAGUAACAACGUGUAUGCAAUUAUAAAUCCCUACAAUCAUGGGCUUAGUUAAAACCGUAUGUAAACAACCCUAUUUUUUAAGGGAUGUUUAUUUUAUUAAUACAUUUGAUUGUAUUUUAAUAUAUUCUUUUGUAUUUUAAAUUUAAAUGAGAUAUCUUGUAACAUCCCUAAAAUUAAGGGAAGAAUAUUCUGUAAAUCAGGUCUAUAAAUAGCAUAAAUUUAGUCAUUUAUUUCCUA